GACGAACGCUGGCGGCGUGCUUAACACAUGCAAGUCGAACGGAAAGGCCCUGCUUUUGUGGGGUGCUCGAGUGGCGAACGGGUGAGUAACACGUGAGUAACCUGCCCUUGACUUUGGGAUAACUUCAGGAAACUGGGGCUCAUACCGGAUAGGAGCUCCUGCUGCAUGGUGGGGGUUGGAAAGUUUCGGCGGUUGGGGAUGGACUCGCGGCUUAUCAGCUUGUCGGUGGGGUAGUGGCUUACCAAGGCUUUGCCGGGUAGCCGGGCUGAGAGGGUGACCGGCCACAUUGGGACUGAGAUGCGGCACAGACUCAUACGGGAGGCAGCGGUGGGGUAUGUUGCACAAUGGGCGGAAGCCUGAUGCAGCAACGCCGCGUGCGGGAUAACGGCCUUCGGGUUGUAAACCGCUUUCGCCUGUGACGAAGCGUGAGUGACGGUAAUGGGUAAAGAAGCACCGGCUAACUACGUG
rnacentral:rRNA from 1 species